rnacentral:misc_RNA from 1 species
GAUGAAGAACGCAGCGAAAUGCGAUAAGUAAUGUGAAUUGCAGAAUUCAGUGAAUCAUCGAAUCUUUGAACGCACCUUGCGCCCUUUGGCCAUUCCGAAGGGCAUGCCUGUUUGAGUAUCAUGAACACCUCAACUCUUUAUGGUUUUCCAUGAUGAGCUUGGACUCUGGGGGUUUUGCUGGCUCACAGUCGGCUCCUCUAAAAUGAAUCAGCUUACCAGUGUUUGGUGGGUAUCAUGGGUGUGAUAACUAUCUACGCUUGUGGUUUUCCGCCAGGUAACCUCCAGCGAUGGAGGUUCGCUGGAGCUCACAAACGUCUCUCCUCAGCGAAGACAGCUCUUGAACGUUUGAUCUCAAAUCAGGUAGGACUACCCGCUGAACUUAAGCAUAUCAAUAAGCGGAGGA